GACGAACGCUGGCGGCGUGCUUAACACAUGCAAGUCGAACGGAAAGGCCCUGCUUGCCGGGUACUCGAGUGGCGAACGGGUGAGUAACACGUGGGUGAUCUGCCCUGCACUUCGGGAUAAGCUUGGGAAACUGGGUCUAAUACCGGAUAGGAGCCAUCUUUAGUGUGGUGGUUGGAAAGUUUUUUCGGUGUAGGAUGAGCUCGCGGCCUAUCAGCUUGUUGGUGGGGUAAUGGCCUACCAAGGCGGCGACGGGUAGCCGGCCUGAGAGGGUGUACGGCCACAUUGGGACUGAGAUACGGCCCAGACUCCUACGGGAGGCAGCAGUGGGGAAUAUUGUACAAUGGGCGCAAGCCUGAUGCAGCGACGCCGCGUGGGGGAUGAAGGCCUUCGGGUUGUAAACUCCUUUCGCUAGGGACGAAGCUUUGUUGUGACGGUACCUAGAGAAGAAGCACCGGCUAACUACGUG
rnacentral:rRNA from 1 species